UGGUUACCAGCUCAGUAACACGUGGCUAACCUGCCCUCGAGACGGUGACAACCCCGGGAAACUGGGGCUAAUCUCCGAUAGGCGAAGAGCUCUGGAAUGAGCCUUUACCCAAACAGCAAUCAGGCUAUGCUUCUGAUUGUCGCUCGAGGAUGGGGCCGCGACCGAUCAGGUUGUUGGUGAGGUAAUGGCUCACCAAGCCUUUGACCGGUUCGGGCCGUGGGAGCGGUAGCCCGGAUAUGGGCACUGAGACAAGGGCCCAGGCCCUACGGGGCGCAGCAGUCGCGAAAAUUUCGCAAUAAGCGAAAGCUUGACGGAGCUAUCCCGAAUGCCAUCCGCUGAGGAUGGCUUUUCCCUAGUAUAGAUAGCUGGGGGAAUAAGGAGAGGGCAAGUCUGGUGUCAGCCGCCGCGGUAAUACCAGCUCUCCGAGUGGUGGGGAUGAUUAUUGGGCCUAAAGCAUCCGUAGCCGGCUGGGCAAGUCCCCUGUUAAACCCAAUGAUUUAAUCGUUGGUCUGCGGGGGAUACUGCUUGGCUAGGGGGCGAGAGAGGCCGUCGGUAUUCCCGGGGUAGGGGUGAAAUCCUAUAAUCCCGGGAGGACCACCAGUGGCGAAGGCUGUCGGCUAGAACGCGCCCGACGGUGAGGGAUGAAAGCUGGGGGAGCGAACCGGAUUAGAUACCCGGGUAGUCCCAGCUGUAAACGAUGCAGGCUAGGUGUUAGGGCGGCCACGUGCCGCUCUAGUGCCGCAGGGAAGCUGUUAAGCCUGCCGCCUGGGGAGUACGGCUGCGAGGCUGANCUUAAAGGCCA
rnacentral:rRNA from 1 species